GACUGCCAGUGAUAAACUGGAGGAAGGUGGGGAUGACGUCAAGUCAUCAUGGCCCUUACGACCAGGGCUACACACGUGCUACAAUGGCGCAUACAAAGAGAAGCGACCUCGCGAGAGCAAGCGGACCUCAUAAAGUGCGUCGUAGUCCGGAUUGGAGUCUGCAACUCGACUCCAUGAAGUCGGAAUCGCUAGUAAUCGUGGAUCAGAAUGCCACGGUGAAUACGUUCCCGGGCCUUGUACACACCGCCCGUCACACCAUGGGAGUGGGUUGCAAAAGAAGUAGGUAGCUUAACCUUCGGGAGGGCGCUUACCACUUUGUGAUUCAUGACUGGGGUGAAGUCGUAACAAGGUAACCGUAGGGGAACCUGCGGUUGGA
rnacentral:rRNA from 6 species